UAUGGACAAAUCAACAUCCAGAGAUCCUCCCCUUCUAGGAGGUAUUUUAUAUUUACAAGUUCCUUUUUGAAUCAAAAAAUUAUUAGUAUUGAUAUAUUAAUUUAAUACUUAAAUCUAAGGUAGAUUUUCUUUCAGAUAGUAGUGAUUUUUUGUAUUUAAAAAUACAAAUUAUGAACCGUAUUAAUUUUACAACAACAUAUUUAUAUUAUACAUUUUUAAAAUAAAACAUCAUUAAUAUUUAUUAUUCAACCAAUAAUAAAAUAUAAUGUAUACUAAAUAACUGAUUUGACAUAAUGUUGACAUUACUUCGUAGAGUUCCUUUUUAUUAUAUUUAAAUCCAACAAAAUAAUUAAAAAUUAACACUUCCAAAUACUCAUGCUACGUCCUUUUGAUGGGCAAUAAAAAACAAACAAACAAACUAUCUUCACUUCAAAAUAAAAAUUAAAUUAAAUUUUGGUCACUCCAAAUACAUAUUCUUUAAUUAUAUUAAAUUAAAUGAAAGAAAUCCAAUUUUUUUUAAAAACAAACAAAUUAUAACUAUGUUCACUUCAAAAAAUUAAAAAAAAAGGUCAAUAAAAAAUAAAUCACACUGUUAUCUGUGCAAAUCAUGCAGCCGAAGAUCACAAUAACAAGAACAACAACCUCGGACCACAACCAAUAAUCGCUAGGACCAUUAGGAUGUGGCUCAUCACAAAUCACAAAAACAAAAAUGCUUUCUUAUGAACAACUUUCAUUUGUCUUGACAUCCAGGUUUGUCUAAAAAAUACUAUGUUUUUAUUCUUUCCAACUACAUAUGAAAUGAUUGCUUUAAACCACUCAACAGGAACAGAAAAUGGAAGGGAGGGUGCCUAUGUCUACGUCGGACAAAAUGUACCAACGGUUCGAAAAAGGGAAAAUUUAUCACAUUAGAUAUUUUAAUCUCCUUCCCAAUAACCAACGGUACAGUCUUACAGUUCAACCCUACAUAAUCAAUAUCAAUGAGACAACAAUUAUUACACAGAUUGAAGAAAACAUUCCACCAAUACCUUCAUACAUAUUUCGGCCCCAACGCUACCCCCAAUUGAUCAGCUUAGCAAGUGCAACCAAUUUCUUCCCAGGUAAAAAAAAAACCAUUGUCGGGGUCUCGCAAACAAAUAAAUUCUCUUUUUCCUCACUAUAAAAAAAUAUUAUCAGAGAUGUUGUUGGUCGAAUAUGCCCAUCCAAGGAAGUGAUUUAUAUAACAAGAACACAUAUUCCAAGAUCUUUGUUGGAUUGCAUUUACACAGGUACUAACACUUUAUUAAAUAAUAUUUAUUUUAACUAAUAAAUAUAUAAUACAAUUAUUUUUAGUAGAUCCAAAAUGGUACGUCUAACUAUCUGGGACAAUGAGACGGCAAAUUUCAGGGAGCUAAAUCACAUAUCUACCAGAAAAAACCAAAUCGUAAUCAUCACAAAUAUCAUUCCACGGUUACAUGAAGGUAAUAAACUAAACAUAAUAUUUACGUCAAAAUAAAUGCUUACAAAUAUUUCACUUUUACAGGGAAACUAUCACUCACAACCACACCUGGAUCGCGCUUUUACUUCGACACCGACAUUGAUAUCAUACAACGCUUCCAAAAGAGGAAUAAACUGCUAUACUAAGCUUGAAGCCAUAACUCCACAUGGGAUGAACAACAAGACAUCAAACGACACCGGUCAACUGUUUUAAAAUUUAAAUUACUGCUUUCUACGUCAAUUAAAAAUGUCCACUCAUAUACUCUUUUAUCCUAAAAAAAUUGUUUGCUCAACCUAAUAUAUUAUUCAAAUUUACUAUAUGGUUCAUUCUACAAUACACAAAAAAUAACUUCCAAUUUCUAGAACUUAAAAAUACCAAAAAUUAAAAGUUUACUUCAAUUGAACAUGUUAUCCGCGCGUAGCGCGGACCCGGCUCUAGUUCAAUUUAAUCAAUGCUAAAAGAAAGCAAUAUGAUUAAAAGAAGAAGAUUAAAAAAUUAAGAAGCCUCAUUUGAGAUGAAUUGUUAUUUAAUUAUAUUUUAACCGCUUUUCAAAUUAGGAUUCUUUAUUACUAUAAAACUAUGGUAAUAAUUAUUAGCAAAAUCAUAACUUAUAUAAAAAUAGAUUUUCAUGUGACGUUAUAAAAGAUGUACAUAUUUACAUGUUUCUACUUUUGAUCGGUUUUGUUCGGUUUAUUCGGUUUAAUUGGUUAUAAACCAAACCAUAUCCAAAUCCUACAGUUUUUAUAAAAUCAUAUCUAGGGCUGGGCAUAAAAUCCGAAACCCGAAAUCCGAACCGAAUCCGAACCGAAACACCCGAUCCGUACCCGAUCCGAAAUGUAAAAAAUACCUCAAUAGAUCUUAUAGGAUGUUACAAAACAUAUUCAAACCCGAAGUGUUAUUAACCGAACCCGAACGGGUAACCCAAAAACCCAAAAAAAUAUCCGAAGAAACCGAUUCGAAUGUCCAAAUUAAUAUAUAAUAUAAAUAUUUGAAACAUAAAUAUGUACUUCAAAUAUUCAAUUUCAUAUUUAUUUGGAUAUGAUAUAAAAUUUAAAUAAACACCUUAAAUACUUCAUUAUAUACAAAGAAGGAUAUAUUUCUUAUGUUUUACUUUUAAAUUUUAGAUUUUACUUUGGAUAUACCCGAAUUAUCCAAUAUAACCCAAAUCCGAAUGAUAUAUGGUUACUUCGGACAUAUCCGAACCGAUCCGAAACCGAAGUGUUAUAUUCGAAUCCAAUCCGUACUUGUAAAUUUACUAGAAUGGGACCUAAGUGGUGUUACAAAAUGGAACCAAAAUCCGAAAAACCCGAUCCGAACCCGAACGCCCAGGUUUAAUCAUAUCCAUUCGGUUUAUAUGGUAUAUACCAAAACCACACCAUAUUGUCAAUUUUGGUUCGGUUCGGUUUGGUACGGUUCGGUUUUACCAUAUUGGACAGGCCUAACGCUGAUGCAAACCGAACCAUGAAAAAUUAGGAAUACUAUAAUGCAAAAAGUGUCAAGUAUCAUUUGUCUAGAUUUGAACUUAGAGCAUCUCUAAUGAUACACUAUUUUUCCAUCUAUAAUUUACACUAAAAUAGAGUAACUCUAUUAGACCAUCUCUAAUGAUUCAUCAUAUUUUUCAUUCUAAAAUAGAAUAACUCUGUAAUAGAGUUGUGAUAUACUUCAAUGGUACUAUAUUUAAAGUGGAAAAUAGAACGAUGAACAAAAAAAAACAACUUAAUCUAUAUAUAGAGUAAACCUAUUUUUUAUUCUACUAUAGAGUAAAAAUAGAGUACCAUUGAAGCAUUUUUACUCUAAACUCUAUUUUAGAAUGAAAAAAUAAAGUGGAGUUGAAAAUGCUCUUAUAGAAUAAUUUUUGCUCCAAUGGUAUUACGUUAUAGAGUUACUCUAUUAUAGAGUAAAAUAUAAAGGAACGUCACAUAUUUACUAUUAAAAUAGACUAAAAUGUGACUUUCAUUUAUAUUGCAGUUUAUAAUAGAGUAUUACCAUUGUAGCAAAAUUACUUGAUAAUAGAGUUACAAUAUUUUAGUUUAAGUUAUAGAAGAAAAAAUAGUGUGCCAUUGGAGAUGGUCUUAGCAUUCCGCUAACGCAAUUUAGUAGUCAAUAGAAAGGAAACAUUAUAGCAACUGUAGGCCGGCCUUGACAAAAUCUAAAAUAAUUUGGGUUGGAAGCACAAACUUGUACAAAAAUAAUUGGUUCAAUAAGUUGCUUAGACAUUUGGAUCUAGCACAUUUAGAAAGACAUUCACAAGAUUUAACCAACUGAGUUAAAAAAAAAUAGGCCAAAAAGUUGUAUAUUUUAUGUAGGGCCAUAUUUUAGAUUUAAAAGAAGCUAAAUUGAGAGCUUAUAAGGGAUGCCACAUGGGCAAAAUAAUCCCCACCAAUCAUACUACCAUGUCACUGGUGGAUUGGGCUUCCAAUUAAAAUUGCAAUAAAAGAUUUGGACUUGGUUUUGAUUACAAAAUUGGCUACAGUGAGUGGGGUUCAAAUUAAAGUUGCUUUGGUUACAAAAUUGGCUACAACAAGUGAGCUUCGAAUUAAAAGAAUGAGGUUCGAAUUAAAAUUGCUUUAGUUUGGUUUGGUUACAGCGAGUGGGCUUCGAAUUAAAAGAACAAUCUCGCAGCCCAGUCCAUUAAUUAUGUGUACCUGUUAAUUAUUCACUAAGAACACGUAAACAAAUUGCAAUGCAUGCAAACAAUAAGGAAUACGUCCUUUACGAGUUGCCUUAUAAUAAAACAAAUGCAUGCAUGAAUUGAUUUUUGUUGAGCUGUUAAUUAUUAGAUAGACUUCUAGCUAUACACUUCUAAAUCAAAAACGAUUUCACCAAGUUUAACUGGCCCCAUAGUAAUAUUCUUCUAGCAAAAAAUCUUCUUGCAUUCACUAAGAAGUAAAUAACAUAUAUUCUGCCAUUAAUACAAAAAACAAAAGAUAUGGAAACAAAACCAUAAUGUUAAUCAAAAUAUAUAUUCAAGCUUUGACUCUACGCUCACCAUAACAUUUAUCCGUCGUCUCUCCCUCUGCAGAAAAUCAGUCUAAGUUAUUCAACCUAAUCAGUGUAAGCUAUUCAAACGAUUAGUCUAUAGCAUUGGUAUUCCGUUUAAGUUAUCAACAUCUGCACGUAGAUACAAAAUCCCACGAGAAAACCUCCUAACGUCAUUUGGUAAGAAAUCGUCUACGAUCAACCAGCUCUACCCCUUCGUCGCAAAAGCCAAUUAGGUAACCUUUUUUUUUGGUGGUCGAUCUGAACAAUCAUUUUAAUAUUCUUCAUUUUGUUUAAAGAAGUGCUGAUCUCAACACUAUGGACAAAUCAACAUCCAGAGAUCCUCCCCUUCUAGGAGGUAUUUUAUAUUUACAAGUUCCUUUUUGAAUCAAAAAAUUAUUAGUAUUGAUAUAUUAAUUUAAUACUUAAAUCUAAGGUAGAUUUUCUUUCAGAUAGUAGUGAUUUUUUGUAUUUAAAAAUACAAAUUAUGAACCGUAUUAAUUUUACAACAACAUAUUUAUAUUAUACAUUUUUAAAAUAAAACAUCAUUAAUAUUUAUUAUUCAACCAAUAAUAAAAUAUAAUGUAUACUAAAUAACUGAUUUGACAUAAUGUUGACAUUACUUCGUAGAGUUCCUUUUUAUUAUAUUUAAAUCCAACAAAAUAAUUAAAAAUUAACACUUCCAAAUACUCAUGCUACGUCCUUUUGAUGGGCAAUAAAAAACAAACAAACAAACUAUCUUCACUUCAAAAUAAAAAUUAAAUUAAAUUUUGGUCACUCCAAAUACAUAUUCUUUAAUUAUAUUAAAUUAAAUGAAAGAAAUCCAAUUUUUUUUAAAAACAAACAAAUUAUAACUAUGUUCACUUCAAAAAAUUAAAAAAAAAGGUCAAUAAAAAAUAAAUCACACUGUUAUCUGUGCAAAUCAUGCAGCCGAAGAUCACAAUAACAAGAACAACAACCUCGGACCACAACCAAUAAUCGCUAGGACCAUUAGGAUGUGGCUCAUCACAAAUCACAAAAACAAAAAUGCUUUCUUAUGAACAACUUUCAUUUGUCUUGACAUCCAGGUUUGUCUAAAAAAUACUAUGUUUUUAUUCUUUCCAACUACAUAUGAAAUGAUUGCUUUAAACCACUCAACAGGAACAGAAAAUGGAAGGGAGGGUGCCUAUGUCUACGUCGGACAAAAUGUACCAACGGUUCGAAAAAGGGAAAAUUUAUCACAUUAGAUAUUUUAAUCUCCUUCCCAAUAACCAACGGUACAGUCUUACAGUUCAACCCUACAUAAUCAAUAUCAAUGAGACAACAAUUAUUACACAGAUUGAAGAAAACAUUCCACCAAUACCUUCAUACAUAUUUCGGCCCCAACGCUACCCCCAAUUGAUCAGCUUAGCAAGUGCAACCAAUUUCUUCCCAGGUAAAAAAAAAACCAUUGUCGGGGUCUCGCAAACAAAUAAAUUCUCUUUUUCCUCACUAUAAAAAAAUAUUAUCAG
rnacentral:lncRNA from 1 species